rnacentral:rRNA from 1 species
GGCACCUACGGGAGGCAGCAGUGAGGAAUAUUGGUCAAUGGCCGAGAGGCUGAACCAGCCAAGUCGCGUGAGGGAUGACGGCCCUACGGGUUGUAAACCUCUUUUGUCGGGGAGCAAGACCCGCCUCGUGCAGGCGGAGCGAGAGUACCCGAAGAAAAAGCAUCGGCUAACUCCGUGCCAGCAGCCCCGGUAAUACGGAGGAUGCGCGCGUUAUCCGGAUUUAUUGGGUUUAAAGGGUGCGCAGGCGGACCAUCAAGUCAGCGGAAAAAUCGCGGG